rnacentral:lncRNA from 1 species
GGAGAUGUUGGGCCUUAAGAUAAAACUGAUAGAUUUUCACCGCGAAGGUGAGGCAAUCCUUGUUGGAGGUAUGCCCUAAAGGCAAUCAUAGAGAUGAUGAUAUCUGAUUGUAUCCAUGAUUUGUAUAUUGUGUUCAUUGAAUAUCCAUUAAAGGCUACUUGAAUUGAUCUGCAAUUAUGUGAAUUGUAUGUGGAACUCUUUACUUGUAUGGUUAUUCAAAAAGUUGUCCCUAGUCAGAGUUCAUGUGUGGACACACAUGAAUAUUAGACUAGUACAUGUAUUAGUUCAUGACUAUGUUUCACAAGUCAUGGACAUGGAGAUGUCAAAUUAAUAAUGUAGGCAUAUGUAGAGACAUGUGCUAGGACUGACCCAACGCGGGAAGUAGUUCUCUCUUUACACAACAUGUAUGCUUUGUCCUUAGACCUGAGAUUGUUGCAUGUACUCAAGAUGUUGAUCGACUUACUUAAGGGCUAUCAAACGCUACACCAUAACAGGGUAGUUAAAAAGGUAGCUUUCGGGUUUGCUAGGAAGCAUGCUGUGAGGCAUGGUCAAUCAAGAUGGGAUUUGCCCCUCUCUGAUUGAGAGUCAUAUCUCUAGGCCCCUCGAGUGAUCGGAUCCGAAAAUGCAUGGCCAUGCUACGUGAGGUUAAGAGUUAACCUAGAAAGGGAUUCCAAAUCAUAGCAUCGAGAAAGAGCGGUCGGCUUGGAGCUAGACCAAAUAUCAUGAGGCAAAGGGAAUAGCAUGUACGUGAUGUUGUGACGGUUCAUCUGAUAUGAUCUUCGUGUGCGUAUAGGAGUUGGCACGUCUUGCUAGAGGCCGCUACCGACUAUUGGGCUGAGUAGGAGUACUCGGGCCAUGUCAAUACGUAUACGAACCUAUAGGGUCACACACAUAAGGGGUUGGGAGCCCAAUUUGGAUGUGAUCCGAAUUGGAUUAGGUUUAGGAGUACUAAUGGGCCUCAGACCCAGAGGCCCAUCAGGAACCUCUAUAAAUAGAGGCCCUUAACUCACGGACCUAGCAGUCCAGUUUGCAAAGCUUCCUUCGUGCACGUGUGGAUACCUUGGAGGUGUUGCACCUGCAGCACUUGGACGAGCCGCCGACGAGCCGCCGACGAGCCACGAUGAUUCGCGGCACGAGGAUGACCUUGCUGUACGUGGAUGAGCUGCUGACAAGCUGCUCGACGUCAAUGUGAUCGACUACGUGUUCGACUACGCUGAUCGAUUUUUCUACCCUGACGCGAUUCUACUUCUUCCGCACUAGUGCGUCGAGUGGUAAUCCCGUGAUCCAUAUACAGCAGUUUUUCUGGUUUACGCGGUAGAAAAUUUUUGUUUUACACUAGCAUAACCUACCUCGUAUCCCUACAGUGGUAUCGAGCUGUAGCUGUUUUGUUAUGGACUCGGGAUGUGUGCAUAUGGAGAUAUGUAAGUUUGUAGAUUGAUCUAUGGCCUGUUUUCAUGUUCUUGCUGUAAUGGUUGUGUAACGACAUACUCCAACCGGUUGGAUUUCCGCCAUCGGAGUUAAGUGAUACACGUAAUGCCAGUUGCAGCAAGCGAAUAUCAAUGUGAUUGAUUGAAUCAAAAUCUAGGUUCAUACGCUAGGCGCAUGAGAUGUGCAAUAGUAGAUUGGAUCUACUACCGGGUCGGAAUUUUGUCGUAUGUGUGUGCUUCGGUAAAACAGCCGUAACUUUUCGGUACGAUCUUGGAUCGAUGUGGAUUUUAUAUGAAAAUUGAUCUACAGAAAAAGUUACACAUAAAAUUCAACAGCUUUUGAAGUUACGGGCCUCUGAAGUUUGGAAUGUUAGAACACCUAACUCUCGUUUGCAGGAUGGAUGGAUCUUGUGAUCAGUAUGGCCCCUUUGUGUAUGAGAUGCAUGUGUGUAACUCAUUCGUGACCUGCGUAUCGUGCGUACGGCAAUACGGCUAGAGCCAUAUGUGUUGUCACUUUAAUGUAUUUAAUGGUCUGCGUACCAAUCUGUGAUGAUCCAAGCAACUAUGUAAUCUUCAUUACUAGCUAUUAGGUGCAAUAGCAUGUUCUAGUUCUUGGAGGACUCAUCACCAGUAGGAUGGCACACAUGGAACAUGGAGAUGGAGAUCACCAUGGUGAACAGGUUCUAUGGAGAUGGACAUCACCAUAAGAAAAUGGGUCAUACUUUGUCACAACUGUGUGAAUGCUAUUCUUUAUCUUUUACUUCCUGCAUAAUAUGAUGUUAGAAGUAGAACGAUCCCUCGCAAAGUUUAAGUUUGUAUGCCCUCCCAACUAAAACUCGCACCGUCCCAUGUCUUGUACAGUUGGUGGUGGGUCUAUGAAAUUAGGGUGCCACUAGUUUUCCUUGACUAGACGGGUUUGUGUCGGACACGUACACGCAUAAGGGUUGGUUUGCUUAACAAGGUUAUCUUAACGGUUAAGGACCUUGGAGCAUAAAGGUUAGGUGCCGAGACAUGGAGAUGUCACCCAACAACAAGAGUCAUAUGUGAUAUGAUUAGCAAGAAGUUGCUUACCAAUCUACCUUGUUUGCUAGCGGUGAUGUUAAAGCUCACUAGUAGACUUGUUAGUUGUGGACCCUGAAUCACUAAGUAUCAAUAGAAGGAAUUGAUUUUAGUGGGAGUAGAUUCUGUUAAAUAGUUUAAUGUGAUUUACUCUAUCAUGGAUACGUUUGUCUUAGUAUUUUGCAUUAUUAUUUUGUUGUAGAUGGCACCUAGCAACACCACACCGUUUGUUUCGCAUUCGGUCCUUGAGAAGGACAAGUUGAAUGGAACAAACUACUCGGAUUGGAUCCGUAACCUGAGAAUUGUUCUCAGGGCUGAGAAAAAGGAAUAUGUUCUAGAUACUCCAUUACCAGAAGAACCUGCUGAUGAUGCACCUGCUGCUGUUAAGAAUGCUUACAAGAAAGCAUGUGAUGCUAACCUCGAAGUAAGCUGCCUUAUGCUUGCUUGCAUGGAACCCGAACUGCAUAUGUAGUUUGAAACAAACCAUGAGGCGCACGAUAUGAUCGUGGGGCUUAGAGAUAUGUUCCAAACACAGGCCAGGACUGAAAGGUUCAAUGUGUCUAAGGCCUUUGUGGAGAGCAAGCUAGCAGAAGGCGCAGUAGUAGGACCACACAUAAUCAAGAUGGUUGGUUACACUCAACGGUUGGAGAAGCUAGGCUUCCCACUUGGCCAAGAGUUGGCCACCGAUUUCAUUCUUUUGUCUCUUCCAUCUAGCUAUGGGAACUUCAUCUUGAACUACCAUAUGCAUGGGACGGAGAAGGGUUUGAAUGAACUGUGUGGCAUGCUUAAAACAGCAGAUGUUGACAUUAAGAAAAGUGCUAGUAGCAGCCAAGUGAUGGCUAUACAGAACAAGCCUAGCUUUAAGAAGAAGGGCAAUUCUUGGAAGAAGAAGGGCAAGGCUGCGAAGCCAAACCCAGCGCCCAAGGUUGAAGCUGGACCUGGACCUGCUCCAGGCAAAGAGUGCUUUUAUUGUCACGAACUUGGUCACUGGAAGGGAAAUUGCAAGCAGUACCUAGCUUCGUUGAAGAAUGGCGGAAGUUAGAGUACUUCCACCUCAGGUACGCUUGUUGUUAAUGUUAUAGACAACAUAUUUCUAGCUGAUACAAUUAUUAAUUCUUGGGUAUUUGAUACCGGAUUAGUUUCUCAUAUUUGCAAUUCGAUGCAGGGAAUGAUAAGAAGUAGAAGCGUUGAAAAAGGCGAAGUUGAGUUCCGUGUGGGCAAUAAUGCAAGAGUUGCUGCGUUGACCAUCGGGAUGAUGCAACUCCACCUCCGAUCAGGAUUUAUUAUGGAAUUGAAUAAUUGUUAUUUCGUUCCUAGUUGAAGUCGAAACAUUUUGUCUCCUUCAUGCUUGAUGAAGGAUGGUUAUUCAUUUGCGAGUGAAAAUAAUGGUUGUGUGAUCUCUAAGAAUGAUAUGUUUAUGGCUUUUGCACCCAUUGUGAAUGGAUUGUUUGUUUUAAAUCUUGAUGGUUCACCUGUCUGUAACAUAAAUGCUAAAAGGCCUCGGCCUAAUGGUUUGAGUACUACCUACAUGUGGCAUUGUCGUUUGGGUUAUAUAAGUGAGAAACGCAUGAAGAAGCUCCAUAUUGAUUUUGAAUCAUACAAGACAUGUGAGGCUUACUUACUAGGCAAGAUGACCAAGGCACCUUUCACAGGUUUUCCUGAGAGAGCAUUAGACUUGUUGGAACUUGUACAUACCGAUGUAUGCGGACCAAUGAGCACGACAGCCAGAGGAGGGUACCAAUACUUCAUAACUUUUACUGAUGAUUUUAGUAGAUAUGGAUAUGUCUACUUGAUGAGGCACAAGUCUCAAACCUUUGAAAAGUUCAAGGAAUUUCAGAAUGAAGUUGAAAAUCAGCGUGGCAAGAAAAGUAAAGCCUUGCGAUCUGAUCAUGGAGGCGAGUAUUUGAGCCACGAAUUUAGCAAUCAUCUAAAGAGUUGCGGAAUUGUUUCACAACUUACGCCGCCUGGAACACCUCAGAGAAACGGUGUAUCCGAGCGACAUAAUAAAACUUUGUUAGACAUGGUUCAAUCAAUGAUGAGCCAGUCGGACCUACCAUUAUCAUUUUGGGGAUACGCUCUAGAAACAGCAGCUUUCACACUUAAUAGGGUACCGUCUAAAUCUGUAGUUAAGACACCAUAUGAGAUGUGGACUGGAAAGACUCCCAAUUUGUCUUUUCUUAAGAUUUGGGGAUGUCAAGUGUUUGUCAAGCAACUUCAGUGGGACAAGAUCACACCCAAGUCGGAUAAGUGCAUUUUUGUGGGAUAUCCAAAGGAAACUUUAAGAUAUUAUUUCUACAACCGGUCAGAGGGCAAAGUGUUUGUCACUCGGAAUGGGGUUUUCCUAGAGAAAGAGUUUCUCAAAGGAGAAAAGAGUGGAAAGACAGUGCAUCUUGAAGAAGUUCGAGAUGAGCCGAUCGGGCAAGAAUCAAUGAGUGAUGCUAAUGUAGCAGAAAAAGUUGAGACACCCAUGGCAAGAGAAGCACCGCCACAACCACGAAGGUCAGCAAGGCUCUGCGAAAGGCAGGAAAUAUUAUUGUUGGACAAUGAUGAGCCUACGACAUAUGCAGAAGCAAUGAUGGACGCAGACUCCGAAAAAUGGCAGAGUUCCAUGCAAUCCAAAAUAGAGUCCAUGUUAGACAAUCAAGUUUCGAACUUGGUUGACCUGCCUGAUGGUGUUAAAGCUAUAGAGUGCAAGUGGAUCUAUAAGAAGAAAAAGGACAUGGAUGGAAAUGUUCACAUCUAUAAAGCAUGACUUGUCACAAAAGGUUUUCGACAAAUUCAAGGAGUUGACUACGACGAGACCUUCUCGCCUGUAGUGAUGCUUAAUUCCAUUCGGAUUAUUCUAGCUAUAGCUGCAUAUUUCGAUUAUGAGAUAUGGCAAAUGGAUGUCAAGACAGUUUUCCUGAAUGGAAACCUAACUGAGGACGUGUAUAUGAUACAGCCUGAGGGUUUUGUCAAUCCGAAAAAUGCUGGAAAAGUAUGCAAGCUUCAGAGAUCCAUUUAUGGAUUGAAGCAAGUAUCCAGGAGUUGGAACAUUCAUUUUGAUGAAGUGGUCAAAGGGUUUGGCUUCACCAAGAACGAAGAAGAGUCUUGUGUUUAGAAGAAGGUUAGUGGGAGCUCUGUAGUAUUUCUAAUCUUAGAUGUGGAUGACAUAUUGCUGAUUAGAAAUAACAUUCCUAUGCUUGAGUCCGUAAAGACUUGACUAAAAAAUAAUUUUUCAAUGAAGGACUUAGGGGAAGCGGCAUAUAUUCUGGGUAUUAAGAUCUAUAGAGAUAGAUCGAGAAGGCUUAUAGGAUUAAGCCAAGAUACUUACAUUGACAAAGUGUUGAAGCGGUUCAGCAUGGAAGAGGCGAAGAAAGGGUUCUUGCCUAUGUCACAUGGCAUACAUCUCAGCAAGACUUAGUGUCCUUCGACUACUGAUGAGCGGGAUUGCGUGAGUAGAGUGCCAUAUGCCUCGGCUAUUGGAUCUAUCAUGUAUGCAAUGAUAAGUACUCACCCAGAUGUUUUAUAUGCGCUAAGUAUGACAAGUAGACACAAGUCUGAUCCAGGUGAGAGUCACUAGACAGCGGUGAAAAACAUUCUUAAGUACUUAAGAAGGACUAAAGAUAUUUUCCUCGUCUACGGAGGUGAGGAGGAGCUCGUUGUAACAGGUUACACCGAUGCUAGUUUCCAAACCGACGGAGAUGAUUCAAAGUCACAAUCAGGAUUUGUGUUCACGCUAAAUGGUGGUGCUGUUAGUUGGAAGAGUUCCAAGUAGGAGACGGUGGCUGAUUGUACGAUAGAAGCCUAGUACAUCAUGGCUUCAGAAGCCGCGAAGGAAUUUCCUUAUUGAGCUUGGUGUGUUCCCAAAUGCAUCCAGCCUAUCGAAUCUGUACUAUGAUAACAAUGGGGCAAUUGCGCAAGCAAAGGAUCCAAGGAAUCACGAGAAGAACAAACACGUUAUGCGGCGAUUUCAUCUUAUUAGAGACUUCGUUAAUCGGGGUGAGAUCAAGAUAUGCAAAAUUCAGAUGGAUUUGAAUACUUCUGAUCCAUUGACAAAGCCUCUCCUGCAGUCUAAGCAUGAUGCGCACAUAAGAGUUAUGGGUAUUAGAUAUAUUCUAGAUUGACUCUAGUGCAAGUGGGAGACUGUUGGAGGUAUGCCCUAGAGGCAAUCAUAGAGAUGAUGAUAUCUGAUUGUAUCUAUGAUUUGUAUAUUGUGUUCAUUGAAUAUCCAUUAAAGGCUACUUCAAUUGAUCUGCAAUUAUGUGAAUUGUUGCAGAACUCUUUACUUGUAUGGUUAUUCUAAAAGUUGUCCCUAGUCGGAGUUCAUGUGUGAACACAUAUGAAUAUUAGACUAGUACAUGUAUUAGUUCAUGACUAUGUUUCACAAGUCAUGGACAUGGAGAUGUCAAACUAAUAAUGUAGGUACAUGUAGAGACAUGUGCUAGGACUAACCCAACACGAGAAGUAGUUCUCUCUUUACACAACAAGUACGCUUUGUUCUUAGACCUGAGAUUGUCACAUAUACUCAAGAUGUGGAUCGACUUACUUAAGGGCUAUCAAACGCUACACCGUAACAGGGUAGUUAAAAAGGUAGCUUUUGUGUUUGUCAGGAAGCAUGGUGUGAGGCAUGGUCAAUCAAGAUGGGAUUUGCCCCUCUCUGAUUGAGAGUGAUAUCUCUGGGCCCCUCGAGUGAUCGGAUCCGAAAAUGCAUUGCCAUGCUACGUGAGGUUAAGAGUUAACCUAGAAAGGGAUUUCGAAUCACAGCAUCGAGAAAGAGCGGUCGGCUUGGAGCUAGACCAAAUAUCAUGAGGCAAAGGGAAUAGCAUGUACGUGAUGUUGUGACAGUUCGUCUGAUAUGAUCUUCGUGUGCCUAUAGGAGUUGGCACGUCUUGCUAGAGGCCGCUACUGACUAUUAGGCCGAGUAGGAGUACUUGGGCCAUGUCUAUAUGUAUCCAAACCUAUAGGGUCACACACUUAAGGGGUUGGGAGCCUAGUUCGGAUGCGAU